rnacentral:rRNA from 1 species
UACGAAGGGUGCUAGCGUUGUUCGGAAUUACUGGGCGUAAAGCGCGCGUAGGCGGCGAUAAAAGUCAGGGGUGAAAUCCCACAGCUCAACUGUGGAAUUGCCUUUGAAACUGUAUUGCUAGAGUGUCGGAGGGGAUAGCGGAAUUCCUAAUGUAGAGGUGAAAUUCGUAGAUAUUAGGAGGAACACCGGUGGCGAAGGCGGCUAUCUGGACGACAACUGACGCUGAGGCGCGAAAGCGUGGGGAUCAAACAGG